UCAGUUCAGAUCGUAGGCUGCAACUCGCCUACGUGAAGGAGGAAUCGCUAGUAAUCGCAGGUCAGCAUACUGCGGUGAAUACGUUCCCGGGCCUUGUACACACCGCCCGUCACACCAUGGAAGUUGGCCACGCCCGAAGCCGUUACUCCAACCCUUGUGGAGGAGGACGUCGAGGGUGGGGCUGAUGACUGGGGUGAAGUCGUAACAAGGUAUCCGUACCGGAAGGUGCGGAUGGAUCACCUCCUAA
rnacentral:rRNA from 1 species